UGGGGAAUCUUGGACAAUGGGCGCAAGCCUGAUCCAGCCAUGCCGCGUGGAUGAUGAAGGCCUUAGGGUUGUAAAAUCCUUUCGUUGGGGACGAUAAUGACGGUACCCAAAGAAGAAGCUCCGGCUAACUUCGUGCCAGCAGCCGCGGUAAUACGAAGGGGGCUAGCGUUGUUCGGAUUUACUGGGCGUAAAGCGCGUGUAGGCGGACUUGUAAGUUGGGGGUGAAAUCCCGAGGCUCAACCUCGGAACUGCCUCCAAAACUACAAAUCUGGACCUAAGUAGAGGCAAGUGGAAUUGCGAGUGUAGAGGUGAAAUUCGUAGAUAUUCGCAGGAACACCAGUGGCGAAGGCGACUUGCUGGACUUAUGGUGACGCUGAGACGCGAAAGCGUGGGGAGCAAACAGGAUUAGAUACCCACGUAGUCCCUGAGCGGGCUGGCAAGGCGCAU
rnacentral:rRNA from 1 species